UACGAAGGGUGCAAGCGUUAAUCGGAAUUACUGGGCGUGAAGGGUGCGUAGGCGGUUCGUUAAGUCUGUUGUGAAAUCCCCGGGCUCAACCUGGGAAUGGCAAUGGAUACUGGCGAGCUAGAGUGUGAUAGAGGAUGGUGGAAUUCCCGGUGUAGCGGUGAAAUGCGUAGAGAUCGGGAGGAACAUCAGUGGCGAAGGCGGCCAUCUGGAUCAACACUGACGCUGAAGCACGAAAGCGUGGGGAGCAAACAGG
rnacentral:rRNA from 1 species